GCUUGCAGUUCAUUGUUGGUGGAAACUGGAAGUUGGGAUUGUAUAAUGUAUUCUUGGGUGGAAACUGGAAGUGUGUAAGAAUAAUAGAUGAUGGAGGAAGUGGAAAAGGAUUCUUGGGUGGACUACCAAAAUGUCAAUGUGGAGUCCAAUAUGAAUGUAGUUGAAGAUCGAACAAUGGGAGGAGAUGAAGUGAUUGUGUCGGAGGUUGGUAUGAAGUUCAAGGACGAAAAUGAAGUCUAUAAUUUUUACAAAUUAUAUGCUUACAACGUAGGUUUUUCUGUGAGAAAAAGGAAUUCGAAAAAGGACGAUGAUGGAGUUUUGCGAUACGUGACUUUCACAUGUGGCUAGCUGUAAAGGUCAAAGAAGUAGUGGCACUAGCAUUUCUUUGAAGCCACAGCCUACAAUUCAGACGGGUUGUAAAGCCAGAAUCUCGGCGUCUGUGGAUAAUCAUGGCUACUAAAAAAUUAACACGGUACACCUCGACCACAAUCACAAAACAAGUCCAACGAAAUCAAGAUUUUAUAGAUGCAAUCGAGAAGUAAGCACGUCUGUGAAAUGGAGGCUUGAAGUGAAUGACAUGGCUAGAAUUCCAUUACAUAAAAGUUUCAAUUAUGCAGGUGUUGAAGCCGGUGGAUAUAAAAAUAUGACAUGUAUUGAAAAGGAUUGUUGAAACUACUUUGAACAAGUUAGGCGAUUAAGCCUUGGUGAGGGAGAUGCGGCCACAAUACAGUCCCGUUUCUUAGAAAUGUAGGUACAUUCAGCAGAAUUUUACUUCUACAUAGAUUUGGAUGAUGAUUCGCGGUUAAAAAAUGUAUUUUGGGCAAAUAAUCGGUGUAAGGAUGCAUAUAAGGAGUUUGGGGACGUCUUGACAUUUGAUAUCACUUACCUGACUAAUAGAUAUGAUAUGUCAUUCGCACCUUUUGUUGGCGUCAAUCACCAUGGACAAUCAACACUUUUGGGUUGUGCUUUAGUCUGUAAUGAGAACACGAAUACAUUUGUGUGGCUUUUCAGGACAUGGCUCAAGUGUAUGAGGGGUCAAGCUCUGCAUGGAAUAAUUAUGGAUCAAGAUAGGGCUAUGCAAAAUGCCAUCCAGAUAAUUUUUCCCAAAUACACAGCAUAGAUGGUGCUUAUGGCACAUUCUUAAGACGUUGCCCGAGAAAUUUGGAUACCAUAUUAACAAGGGUUCAAUAUUCUCAGCAAUACAUGGUUUGGUGUAUGAUUCUCAAACAGUUGAAGAAUUUGAACAAGGUU
rnacentral:lncRNA from 1 species